AGGUCCAACAAAAGAUAAUAUCAACACGAUAUAUCCGAACUGGAGAACAAUUAGGAGAUAUUUUCACUAAAGCUCUAAAUGGGACUCGAGUUGAUUAUAUAUGUAACAAGUUGGGCAUGAUUAACAUUUAUGAUCCAACUUGAGGGGGAGUGUUAUAAGUUAUAGAAAGUAAAUAUGUUAAUAUAGGAAGUAAAUAUUGAUAGAUGGAUCAGUUGCUUAAUCUUAGGGAUUGUAUAAUUAUAGGCUUGAUUUUCCUUCCUGUUUAGUUACCGUCUCUCAUGUAUAAAUAGGUUGUAAUCUCUAUUGUGAUAUACAACAAUAAAUAUUAUCUUUCUACAU
rnacentral:lncRNA from 1 species